rnacentral:rRNA from 1 species
GAUGAACGCUGGCGGCGUGCCUAAUACAUGCAAGUCGAGCGAACAGACGAGGAGCUUGCUCCUCUGACGUUAGCGGCGGACGGGUGAGUAACACGUGGAUAACCUACCUAUAAGACUGGGAUAACUUCGGGAAACCGGAGCUAAUACCGGAUAAUAUAUUGAACCGCAUGGUUCAAUAGUGAAAGACGGUUUUGCUGUCACUUAUAGAUGGAUCCGCGCCGCAUUAGCUAGUUGGUAAGGUAACGGCUUACCAAGGCAACGAUGCGUAGCCGACCUGAGAGGGUGAUCGGCCACACUGGAACUGAGACACGGUCCAGACGCCUACGGGAGGCAGCAGUAGGGAAUCUUCCGCAAUGGGCGAAAGCUUGACGGAGCAACGCCGCGUGAGUGAUGAAGGUCUUCGGAUCGUAAAACGCUGUUAUUAGGGAAGAACAAAUGUGUAAGUAACUAUGCACGUCUUGACGGUACCUAAGCAGAAAGCCACGGCUAACUACGU